GAUGAAGAACGUAGUGAAAUGCGAUAAGUAAUGUGAAUUGCAGAAUUCAGUGAAUCAUCGAAUCUUUGAACGCACAUUGCGCCCCCUGGUAUUCCGGGGGGCAUGCCUGUUCGAGCGUCAUUUCACCACUCAAGCCUCGCUUGGUAUUGGGCAACGCGGUCCGCCGCGUGCCUCAAAUCGACCGGCUGGGUCUUCUGUCCCCUAAGCGUUGUGGAAACUAUUCGCUAAAGGGUGCUCGGGAGGCUACGCCGUAAAACAAACCCAUUUCUAAGGUUGACCUCGGAUCAGGUAGGGAUACCCGCUGAACUUAAGCAUAUCAAUAAGCGGAGGA
rnacentral:misc_RNA from 1 species